UGGGUCUUACGGGGGGCAGCAGUGGGGGAUAUUGCACAAUGGGGGGAACCCUGAUGCAGCGACGCCGCGUGGGUGAAGGAGUGCUUCGGCAUGUAAAGCCCUAUCGGCAGGGAAGAAGCAAGACGGUACCUGACUAAGAAGCCCCGGCUAACUACGUGCCAGCAGCCGCGGUAAUACGUAGGGGGCGAGCGUUAUCCGGAUUCACUGGGGGUAAAGGGAGCGUAGCAGGCCAUGCAAGCCAGGGGUGAAAAGCCGGGGCCCAAACCCGGGACUGCCCUUGGAACUGCAUGGGUGGAGUGCGGGAG
rnacentral:rRNA from 1 species